UACGGAGGAUGCGAGCGUUAUCCGGAUUUAUUGGGUUUAAAGGGUGCGCAGGCGGCACGGCAAGCCGGCGGUCAAAUCGCGGGGCUCAACCCCGCCCAGCCGUCGGAACUGCCGGGCUUGAGUGGGCGAGAAGUGCGCGGAAUGCGUGGUGUAGCGGUGAAAUGCAUAGAUAUCACGCAGAACUCCGAUUGCGAAGGCAGCGCACCGGCGCCCUACUGACGCUCAGGCACGAAAGCGUGGGUAUCGAACAGG
rnacentral:rRNA from 1 species